rnacentral:miRNA from 1 species
UUUCUCUCUCUCUCUCUCUCUCUCUCUCUCUCUCUCACACACACACACAGAGAGAGAGAGAGAGAGAGAGAGAGAGAGAGAGAGAGAGAGAGAAA